ensembl:lncRNA
UGACAGUCCGGUCUGGAAUGAUUGACAGGUCCUAUGGAGGAGGCAGCAGAGACUCUGCUCUCCUCGUUUGGAUUAAUUCUGAUAUAAUAACUGUUGGUUUAUUUAUCGGUGCAGCAGCAGAACAUUUUCCACAGACAGUUUUCCUGCCCGUUGGCUUGUUUUAACCAGUUUUCUGCCUUCGGCUGAUUCUACCAGCAGACACUGAAAGGACUCUGAUAGUUCGAGUGAAAGUAGCAGUUCCUCCUUAAGGUCAGAGAUUGCAGCAUCUGAGGGCCUCUUCAAAAGAAGAUGUAGUCGAUGAAGGCGUUCUGGAGCAGGACCAGAAAGACCACGACCAAGCAGCGUUGAGAUCUUAGGCAGCGUCUCCCUCAGACCAAAGAACUACAGACUCUUCACAACCUGCUCAAACUCUUGGUACAGGACCUCACCACACGGGUAAAGAAGGUUUCC